GACGAACGCUGGCGGCGUGCUUAACACAUGCAAGUCGAGCGGUAAGGCCCUUCGGGGUACACGAGCGGCGAACGGGUGAGUAACACGUGGGUGAUCUGCCUCGUACUUCGGGAUAAGCCUGGGAAACUGGGUCUAAUACCGGAUAUGACCGCAUGCUGCAUGGUGUGUGGUGGAAAGAUUUAUCGGUGCGAGAUGGGCCCGCGGCCUAUCAGCUUGUUGGUGGGGUAAUGGCCUACCAAGGCGACGACGGGUAGCCGACCUGAGAGGGUGACCGGCCACACUGGGACUGAGACACGGCCCAGACUCCUACGGGAGGCAGCAGUGGGGAAUAUUGCACAAUGGGCGGAAGCCUGAUGCAGCGACGCCGCGUGAGGGAUGACGGCCUUCGGGUUGUAAACCUCUUUCGACAGGGACGAAGCGGAAGUGACGGUACCUGUAGAAGAAGCACCGGCCAACUACGUG
rnacentral:rRNA from 1 species